GAUGAACGCUAGCUACAGGCUUAACACAUGCAAGUCGAGGGGAAACGACAUCGAAAGCUUGCUUUUGAUGGGCGUCGACCGGCGCACGGGUGAGUAACGCGUAUCCAACCUGCCCAUCACUUGGGAAUAACCUUGCGAAAGUAAGACUAAUACCCAAUGAUAUCCCACGAAGGCAUCGGAAUGGGAUUAAAGAUUUAUCGGUGAUUGAUGGGGAUGCGUCUGAUUAGCUUGUUGGCGGGGUAACGGCCCACCAAGGCAACGAUCAGUAGGGGUUCUGAGAGGAAGGUCCCCCACAUUGGAACUGAGACACGGUCCAAACUCCUACGGGAGGCAGCAGUGAGGAAUAUUGGUCAAUGGGCGAGAGCCUGAACCAGCCAAGUAGCGUGCAGGAAGACGGCCCUAUGGGUUGUAAACUGCUUUUAUAAUGGAAUAAAGUGGGUCACGUGUGACUUUUUGCAUGUACCUUAUGAAUAAGGACCGGCUAAUUCCGUG
rnacentral:rRNA from 1 species